GACGAGCCACACGACCGUUAUUCGGAAUUACUGGGCUUAAAGGGUGCGUAGGCUGCGCGGCAAGUUGGGUGUGAAAUCCCUCGGCUCAACCGAGGAACUGCGCCCAAAACUGCCGUGCUCGAGGAAGAUAGAGGUAAGCGGAACUUACGGUGGAGCGGUGAAAUGCUUAGAUAUCGUCAAGAACACCUAUAGCGAAGGCAGCUUACCAGGCUGUAACUGACGCUGAGGCACGAAAGUGUGGGGAUCAAACAGG
rnacentral:rRNA from 1 species